CAGACGAGAAUUUUAAUAGGCUCAAAUUCCUAAGUCUCUUCAGCCCAAAGUGAGAGCUCAUAAACACUUCUCUUCACUAGUUGCCUCUACCAUACAUCAACAUAAAUAAUGGGCACUUGAGAAACCUUUUUUGACCUGGGAGCAGACUGGCUGCAGCUUUUAAAACCAGGAUAAAGGUCUCUUUGGCUCUCCUAAGUUUGGAGCAAGCAGAGCUUUGGGAGAUGUCAAGCAGAGUGAAGCUUGUUAUAAAAAGAGGUGAUGCUUGGGACUAUGGCAGUCAUCUUGGGGACAGCAGGGAAAUGCUAAGAAAACCACUGAAACACCAACUCAGAGUCCUGUUAUCACUAAGCUGGCUGGAAUGGCAAUAGGAUGAAUAUGGCUUAAGCAGCCUUCUUGGGACCAUGAGGAAGAGCCACAUAAUGACAACAGUGAAGCAGCAAUUUGGACAGAGCUGAGGUCUUUGGUGACUGCAGAGCUUCCAACUCAGUCAGGACUCUCUACCUCUGGGAUAACUUAGGUUUUCUAUCACACACAGCCAAACCAGAUCCCUGACUUCAAGGAGUUUUCCAGUUAACAUGAGAAGAAAGACAAAAGGCUGGCACACGAGGGAUGCAGAACAGAAGCUUGUUGGAUGGGGUCUGAAAAAGCAAGACACGAAUGAAGAGCAGCAGGAGAUGCAUGGAGAAGGAUCUAAUUGCCUAUUUUUCACGAGGAUGUCUAAACGAACAAAACUUGGAGGUGUCAAAGAAGCUGAACAAGGAACCUGGACUUCUACCCCCACCUCCAAGUAAUGAGGAAGAGCACCCUCAUCCCACCACCUCUUGCUUCCCCUGCCAGAGCAGUGUCUCAUGAACACAGAUAAAACAGAAGACUUUUAUCCAGAGUCUCAAAUGCCGACCUAAAACACCCACAUUUCAGUUGAAAAUAAUUUCUCAUAUGAAAAGCUGGGAAGAAUUCAUACAGAAUUUUUAAAAGCAAUCAAUAGAUACCAAUGCCAAGAUGACAGGGAUGCUAGGAUGACCCAAAAAACACUUUAAAGUAACCAUCAUAAAAAUGCUUCAAUACGCAAAUGGAAACAUGCUUGAGACAAAUGAAAAAAAAAAAAAUAGAAACUCCAGACAAAGAAACAGAAGAAAAAAAAGAAGAACCAAACGGAAAUUUUAGAACAAAAAAAUUUGAUAACUGAAACAAAAACUCAAUGGUUGGGAUCAACACCAAGAGAGGAAACAAUCAGUGAACCAGAAGUGAGGACAACAGAAAUUACCCAAUCUGAACAUCUGAAGGAAGUUCUGGAAUGGGAGUGGGGGAAGGACAGAGUCCCAGAGAUCUGUAGAGUGAUCUAUAUAACAAAAGACUUAACAUCAUGUAGGCUUAGUGCUGGAAGUUGACAAGAAAGAGGGUAAGGAUGAAGAGGUACUUGAAGAAAACUUCUAAAUUUAGUAAGAGACAUAAACCUUCAUCAAGAAGCUGAGUGAACCUCAAACAGGAUGACCUCCUCUCAAAACCCACACCAGGAUACGUAAUAAUUUAAAAUUUUUAAAAAUUUGGCUUUCCAAAGAAAACAAUCUUGAAAGUAGCUAGAGAAAACACCUCACUAUAAUGAGAAAGACAGUAGAUUUCGCAUCAGAAAAUAUAGAGAUGAGAAGAAAGUGACACAAUUAUUUUCAGAGGCCAUAGGAAAAGAACUGUCAACCCAGAAUCUCAUACUUGGUGAAAAUAUCCUUAGGAAAUGAAGGGAAAUCAAGACAUUCUCAGAAGAAGAAUUUGUACAAGGCUUAUAUGCUGAAAACUACAAAAUGCUGAUGAAAGAAAUAAAAUAUUUAAAUAAAUGAGAUACACAGUGUUUAUGGAUUAGAAGAUUCAGCAUAUUAAUGUGUCAACUCUUCCUAAACUGAUGUAUGGAUUUAAUGCAAUCCCUAUCCAAAUCUCAGCCAAGUGUCUUAUAGAUAUGGAUGACACCAUUCUAAAAUAUAUAUGGAAAUACAAAGGAACUAGAAUAGCUAAAAUGAUUUUUGAAAAGAAGAAUAAAAUGGGAGAAAUUAGGCUACUUGAUUUCAAGACUUAUUAUAUAGCUACAGUAAUCAAGACAGUAGAAGGGUAGACACAGACCAAUGGAAUGGAAUAGAGAAUCAAGAAACAGACCUGCACAAAUAAGCCCAAGAGACUUUUGACACAGGUGCAAAAUCAGUUUAACUGGGGAAAGGGUGUUUUCAAAAGGUGGUGCUAGACAGUUAGACAUCGAUAGGCAAAAAACUGAACCUCACUCAGAACCUCAUACUUCAUAAGAAAAUUAACUCAAAAAUAGUUCACAGACUUAAAUGUAAAACAAAGAACGGGCACCUGGGUGACUCAGUCGGUUAGGUGUCUGCCUUCAGCUCAGAUCAUGAUCCCAGGGUCCUGGUAUUGAU